rnacentral:rRNA from 1 species
UACGAAGGGUGCAAACGUUGCUCGGAAUUAUUGGGCGUAAAGCGCACGUAGGCGGCUUAGCAAGUCGGAAGUGAAAGCCCUUGGCUCAACCAAGGAAGUGCUUUCGAAACUGCUGAGCUUGAGUAGUUAAGAGGAUCGCGGAAUUCCCGGUGUAGAGGUGAAAUUCGUAGAUAUGGGGAGGAACACCGGUGGCGAAGGCGGCCACCUGGACGGUCACUGACGCUGAGACGCGAAAGCGUGGGUAGCAAACAGG